CGCGUAGGCGGAUCUGCAAGUCGGGGGUGAAAUCCCGAGGCUCAACCUCGGAACUGCCUUCGAUACUGCGGGUCUCGAGUCCGGGAGAGGUGAGUGGAAUUCCUAGUGUAGAGGUGAAAUUCGUAGAUAUUAGGAAGAACACCAGUGGCGAAGGCGGCUCACUGGCCCGGUACUGACGCUGAGGCGCGAAAGCGUGGGGAGCAAACAGGAUUAGAUACCCUGGUAGUCCACGCCGUAAACUAUGGGUGCUAGCCGUCGGUCGGCAUGCCGGUCGGUGGCGCAGUAAACGCAUUAAGCACCCCGCCUGGGGAGUACGGUCGCAAGAUUAAA
rnacentral:rRNA from 1 species